rnacentral:lncRNA from 1 species
CAAUCUUGGCUCACUGCAACCUCCACCUCCUGGGUUCAAGCAAUCCUCCCACCUCAGCCUCUGGGGUAGCCAAGGAUUACAGCCAUGCACCAUCAUGCUUGGCUAAUUUUUGUAUUUUACUACGAACGGGGCUCGCCAUGUGGGCCAGGCUGUUCUUGAAUUCCUGACCUCAAGCGAUCUGCCCUUGGCCUCCCAAAGUGCUGGGAUUAUAGGUGUGAGCCACUGGACCCGGUCAAAUGAAUUUUCAUAGGAAAGUAUCCUUCCCCAGGACUGGUUCCAGGCCUGGCAGUGGCAGUGGGGUGGAAGUUCUUGCUUUUCAUAAAGUAAAUCCAAUCAAUUAAAAACAGACAUUCUGCAGGAGUCUAGCUUGCCAGACUCCUAUUCAAAGCUAGUUUGCUUCUUUUUAGCUUGUCUCUUAAUAACAGAAAAGUUUAUUGUUUCCCUUGCAUGUAAAAAGGCCCUUCGUUGUCAUAGAGAGGCAUCAGGCGGAUCUUUCUUUCUUGCCAGCUGACAUUGUGUUCUUCACCAUGACACCCACAGGAAGAAAUUCAUUCCUGAACUUGUGGCCAUUUCAAUCGAAUUACCUUAAUUUGCAUUUGAGACUCAGAAAGCAUUGACUUUUGGCCUCCUGAGGUAUGCUUCCCAGACAAAACGGCUGGCUGGGGCUGUGUGUUUCGGUGCCUGAGCUCUGGACCAGGCUGCCUGGUCAAACUUCUGGCCCUGACACUUUCCUGCUGUGUGAGUUUGGACAGGUCACCUAACCUGUCCAUGCCUCCACUUUUCUAUUUGUAUAAGAGCAUUGGAAUUCAGUAGUGGCCACCUUGUGGAGCUUUUUGUAAGGUUUAAAUAAGCAAGUGCAAGUUAAGUACUCAGAAGAGUAUCUGUCGUACAGGUACUAUAUUAAUUUUAGCUGAGUAUUACCUCUAUUCUGGGGCAGAUGAUUGGAUUGUGUAAUAAGGAGUAUGAGCUGCCAUUGAUCACUGCUGCUAUGCGCAGUGCCUGACAUGCGAUAAUGAGGUGGAUACUAUUAUUUUAUCAAUUUCACAGAGAUAUAGGUCUGUGGUCACAUAGUUAAUAAGUAGUGGGGCUGAAAUUCAAACCCAGGUCUAUUUGACUCCAAAUCCUAGUCCUCACCUCCCCACUGCUACCUCCACUGUACACUUUGCAUGAAGAAUGGGGAGUAAAUAAGCAAGGUCAAGGUUAUGUGGAAAGGUCUUUUUGGCCAAUUAACCAGAUGACCAGGCAGUUCUAGAGCAUCCCUGCCCCUUGUCAUUUCACCUGAAUGGGAAGCCUGUGAGCAUAGGGAGUUGGGGAAAGGCUCAGAGCUCUAGGCCUCA